GAAGAGUCAUUGCAUCGAUUGCGCACUUCAACUGGCGGACCCCUCAUGCCGGCGUUCCAACUUUGAGUUUCCUUAACUGCCCCUGGGCGUGUUCGCCACCUACUACACCAAAUUAAGCUGCGUUGCGCUUUUUGGAAUGGAUGGGAACUGUACGAACCUUAGGACGUCUCUACACCCUCACGAGCUUUCUCUUGGUUCUGUGUCCACGACGUACCGGCAGCAGUCGAGCACAGCACUCUACAACCCAAUUCAGGGCGUUGCUCGCGUUGGGAACAGUAAUCAACGAUGCUUUCCCGUGAGAUUACUCUGACGGCCACUGUUCGGCCUCCUUCCACCCCUACUGCAGUUCAGGAGUACCGGGAAUGCGCAUCCCGAUGUGUGCACGAUGUUACCACCACUGUCUCCCUAUUAGGGAUUUUCGGUAGAGUCAAGCCUAGCAGGAGACGUUGAGCUCCCGCACUUCAACCUUAGCGAUCAUUAGCGCCUAGUCGUACGGCGCCACUUAUGCAAGGGCCCGGGACAUGUGUGGCGGGCAGUGUGGUACCCUCAACCAAGAUGGGCUUCCGCGACGCGAUUGGCGUUCCUCCGUCCGCUGGUGCCAUCCCAGUCGCUGACCCCACUUCAGCAUUGUUCCAUCGGCAUUUCCCGCUUAAGACGUCUAUAGGUAGUGUGACCGCCGGCGAGCUCGUACGUAGACUCCGGGUAC
rnacentral:rRNA from 1 species